GGCCCCGUAGCUCAGUUGGUUAGAGCUUCUGCCUUAUACGCAGGAAGUCGCAGGUUCGAGCCCUGCCGGGGCUA
rnacentral:tRNA from 1 species